rnacentral:rRNA from 1 species
GAUGAACGCUGGCGGCGUGCCUAACACAUGCAAGUCGAGCGAUUUACUUCGGUAAAGAGCGGCGGACGGGUGAGUAACGCGUGGGUAACCUGCCCUGUACACACGGAUAACAUACCGAAAGGUAUGCUAAUACGAGAUAAUAUGCUUUUGUCGCAUGGUAGAAGUAUCAAAGCUCCGGCGGUACAGGAUGGACCCGCGUCUGAUUAGCUAGUUGGUAAGGUAACGGCUUACCAAGGCGACGAUCAGUAGCCGACCUGAGAGGGUGAUCGGCCACAUUGGAACUGAGACACGGUCCAAACUCCUACGGGAGGCAGCAGUGGGGAAUAUUGCACAAUGGGCGAAAGCCUGAUGCAGCAACGCCGCGUGAGCGAUGAAGGCCUUCGGGUCGUAAAGCUCUGUCCUCAAGGAAGAUAAUGACGGUACUUGAGGAGGAAGCCCCGGCUAACUACGUG